rnacentral:ribozyme from 1 species
UGCCCAGCAGCUCCUAUCCCUACCUCUUCGUGGUACUGGCCGGGGUACGAGCAGAGGCGCGUCCACGUUCGGAACCAUGGAUAGG